rnacentral:lncRNA from 1 species
GGAUUGGACGGUGGUCCUUCAAAAUUGGAAUUAAUUAUUAACUCAUUGUGAAAUAAUCGUUAUACUCUAAAAAUUUAAGCUGUUAGAGAACGGUGUUUAAAUAUUUUUUAUAUUUAACACUUUUCCUCACGCCUGGAUUCGAGAUUUUUUAGAACGGUGUUUAAAUAUUUUUAUAUUUAACACUCCCCCUCACGUCUGGGCUUGAGAUUUUUUAGUCGGCUCAUGACGUGAGCUUGAAUUAAAUGGGAGGAAAUUAAUAUGCUAGAAGUCUGAUGUGAUUCGAACUCAGGACCUUCGGCUCUAAUAUCAUGUGAAACAUCCGUUGUACUCUAAGGUACCGUUUGAUUCAAGUAUAAGCAAGGACUAGUUAUUACAGAAAUAGAUAUAAGUGUGGGGAUAAGAAAAAAAGUGUUUGGAUGAAAAUUGGGUUGUUUCCGGGGAUAAGAAAAAUAGCGUUUGGAUAGAUAAUAUGAAAUAAGAAAAAUAUUAGAUAAUUUUAUAUAGAAAAUGGAGGUGUUGGUGGGAAUAAUUAUAACCGGUUAUUAUAGGUAACCGAGAAUUACUGUUCUCGGGUAAAAAAUUAGUAUUUGGAUGUAAAGGGGGGAUACGGGCGUAUCCCUAUCCCUAUCUCGUAACCAAACACUGCCUAAAAGCUUAAGCUGCUAGAGAACGGUGUUUAAAUAUUUUUAUAUUUAACAGAAAUUUAUUAUUAUUAAGUUACAUAAGUACCCUCGUAAAAAUUAGAUA